rnacentral:rRNA from 1 species
UACGAAGGGGGCUAGCGUUGCUCGGAAUUACUGGGCGUAAAGGGCGCGUAGGCGGACAGUUUAGUCAGAGGUGAAAGCCCAGGGCUCAACCUUGGAACUGCCUUUGAUACUGACUGUCUUGAGUUCGGGAGAGGUGAGUGGAAUGCCGAGUGUAGAGGUGAAAUUCGUAGAUAUUCGGCGGAACACCAGUGGCGAAGGCGACUCACUGGCCCGAUACUGACGCUGAGGCACGAAAGCGUGGGGAUCAAACAGG